AACGAACGCUGGCGGCAUGCCUAACACAUGCAAGUCGAACGAGACCUUCGGGUUUAGUGGCGCACGGGCGCGUAACGCGUGGGAACCUGCUCUUAGGCCUGGAAUAACUCCCCGAAAGGGGUGCUAAUACUGGAUCUUGUCUUCGGACUAAAGAUUUCUCGCCUUUGGAUGGGCCCGCGUUGGAUUAGCUAGCUGGUAGGGUAAAAGCCCACCAAGGCGACGAUCCAUAGCUGGUCUGAGAGGAUGAUCAGCCACACUGGGACUGAGACACGGCCCAGACUCCUACGGGAGGCAGCAGUGGAGAAUAGUGAACAAUGGGCGAAAGCCUGAUCCAGCAGUGCCGCGUGAGUGAUGAAGACCUUAGGGUUGUAAAGCUCUUUUACCCGGGAUGAUAAUGACAGUACCGGGAGAAUAAGCGCCGGCUAACUCCGUG
rnacentral:rRNA from 1 species